rnacentral:rRNA from 1 species
UACAGAGGGGGCAAGCGUUAUUCGGAAUUAUUGGGCGUAAAGGGCGCGUAGGCGGCCUUUCAAGUGACGGGUGAAAUCCCUCGGCUUAACCGAGGAACUGCCUGUCAGACUGGGAGGCUUGAGACCGGGAGAGGUGAGUGGAAUUCCCAGUGUAGCGGUGAAAUGCGUAGAUAUUGGGAGGAACACCAGUGGCGAAGGCGACUUUCUGGCCUAUAACUGACGCUGAGGCGCGAAAGCGUGGGGAGCAAACAGG